rnacentral:rRNA from 1 species
AGCGAACGCUGGCGGCAGGCCUAACACAUGCAAGUCGAACGGUAACAGGUAGCUUGCUCCGCUGACGAGUGGCGAACGGGUGAGUAAAAUAUCGGAACGUACCCAAGUGUGGGGGAUAACGUAUCGAAAGAUACGCUAAUACCGCAUACGAUCUAAGGAUGAAAGCAGGGGACCUUCGGGCCUUGUGCUCCUUGAGCGGCCGAUAUCUGAUUAGCUAGUUUGUGGGGUAAAGGCUCACCAAGGCGACGAUCAGUAGCUGGUCUGAGAGGACGACCAGCCACACUGGAACUGGAACACGGUCCAGGCUCCUGCGGGAGGCAGCAGUGGGGAAUGUUGGACAGUGGGCGCGAGCCUGAUCCAGCAAUGCCGCGUGAGUGAAGAAGGCGUUCGGGUUGUAAAGCUCUUUUGUCAGGGAAGAACCGGGAUUGGCUAAUAUCCAGUCCUAAUGACGGUACCUGAAGAAUAAGCACCGGCUAACUACGUG